rnacentral:rRNA from 1 species
GACGUAGGGGGCGAACGUUAUCCGGAAUUAUUGGGCGUAAAGGGUGCGUAGGCGGCAUGAUAAGUUAUUGGCGGCAAAUCGAGGCUCAACCUCGUGGAAACUAAUAAUACUGUCUUGCUUGAGUGCAGAAGAGGUUAACGGAACUCCAUGUGGAGCGGUAAAAUGUGUAGAUAUAUGGAAGAACAUCAAUAACGGCGAAGGCAGUUAACUAUUCUGUUACUGACGUUGAGGCACGAAAGCGUGGGGAGCAAACAGG